CCUACGGGAGGCAGCAGUGGGGAAUAUUGCACAAUGGGGGAAACCCUGAUGCAGCAACGCCGCGUGAGCGAUGAAGGCCUUCGGGUCGUAAAGCUCUGUCCUAAGGGAAGAAUACUGACGGUACCUUAGGAGGAAGCCCCGGCUAACUACGUGCCAGCAGCCGCGGUAAUACGUAGGGGGCUAGCGUUAUCCGGAAUUACUGGGCGUAAAGGGUGCGUAGGCGGCCCUUCAAGUCAGAGGUGAAAGGCUACGGCUCAACCGUAGAAAGCCUUUGAAACUGUAGGGCUUGGGGGCAGGAGAGGAGAGUGGAAGUACCAGUGUAGCGGAGAAAUGCGUAGAUAUGGGGAGGAACACCAGUUGCGAAGGGGGCGCUCUGGACUGAAACAUACGCUGAGGCACGAAAGCGUGGGGAGCGAACAGGAUUAGAUACCCGAUUAGUC
rnacentral:rRNA from 1 species